CAGGGAAUAGUUUAAUUAAAAUAUUAAUUUUGGGGAUUAAUGAUGAAGUGUAUUCUUUUUCUCUGA
rnacentral:tRNA from 1 species